UUGCACUUUAGAAUACGAAGUCAAAUAUGUAAUUAUGGUAGGAAAAUGUGGUUGUAACUGUUAAUGAUAUUUUUUGAAUAUUUGGAUUCGGAUUUCUGCUUUGCCCUGAGAAGGAAUAUGGUAUUUAGUUUUUCUUUACAUCUCAGUGUGUUUCCUUUUUCUCUUGUCUUUGCUUGCAUCUUUAUUGGUUUAUUCAAAAUGAUUUACCUAUACAGUCUUCUUGUGGUAGGAUCUUGCCAAUGCUGGCGUGUGGUGCCUUUGUGAUAUGGUUGGUGGCAAGAAAGCGAACAUGCCUGAAGCUCUGCAGGAGCAAUUUAAACUUUCCGGUAAAUCUCGUGCUUUGCUUACAUCAGGAACACCAACUCCAAAGGGUCUGAAAGACAUUGCAUAUAUUUUAUCCGUAAGUAAGAAGUAUUCAGGAA